UACGGAGGGUGCAAGCGUUAUCCGGAUUCACUGGGUUUAAAGGGUGCGUAGGCGGGCAAGUAAGUCAGUGGUGAAAUCUCCGAGCUUAACUCGGAAACUGCCGUUGAUACUAUUUGUCUUGAAUAUUGUGGAGGUAAGCGGAAUAUGUCAUGUAGCGGUGAAAUGCUUAGACAUGACAUAGAACACCAAUUGCGAAGGCAGCUUACUACACAAUUAUUGACGCUGAGGCACGAAAGCGUGGGGAUCAAACAGG
rnacentral:rRNA from 1 species